UUGAUCCAUUUGCUUCUCACAU
rnacentral:miRNA from 15 species